AACGAACGCUGGCGGCAGGCUUAACACAUGCAAGUCGAACGCCACCUUCGGGUGGAGUGGCAGACGGGUGAGUAACGCGUGGGAACGUACCUAUUGGUUCGGAAUAUUCUCGGGAAACUGAGAGCAAUACCGAAUAAGCCCUGAGGGGGAAAGAUUUAUCGCCAAUAGAUCGGCCCGCGUUAGAUUAGGUAGUUGGUAGGGUAAUGGCCUACCAAGCCUACGAUCUAUAGCUGGUCUGAGAGGAUGAUCAGCCACAUUGGGACUGAGACACGGCCCAAACUCCUACGGGAGGCAGCAGUGGGGAAUAUUGGACAAUGGGCGCAAGCCUGAUCCAGCCAUGCCGCGUGAAUGAUGAAGGCCUUAGGGUUGUAAAAUUCUUUCAACGGUGAAGAUAAUGACGGUAACCGUAGAAGAAGCCCCGGCUAACUUCGUG
rnacentral:rRNA from 1 species